rnacentral:tRNA from 1 species
GUCCUUGUAGCUCAGUGGAUAGAGCAAUCGCCUCCUAAGCGAUAGGUCGCAGGUUCAAAUCCUGCCAAGGACGCCA